UUCGGUUGAAGCUGACUCGAAUCAUGUUCACACUUUUAGUGCUUCAAGAUUCAGCAUUUGCUACUAAGCAUUUUGAAAAUGAUCUGCUUUUGCUUUCAGUAACAGAUAACCGGCCAUCUGUAAUAAGCAUUUAGUAAAUAAAUCAUGAUAUAUAUACUACAGCAAAAAUCAAAGAUAAGAUUCUGCAAUCCUAAGACAGAAACUUGUAAUUUGAAACUUAAAACUUUAAUUAUGUAUAAAGAAAAUUCAUUAAAGAAAUUUUAGUGUAAUGCUUAUUUUUUCUAUAAGCACUACUAAAGUAACACUUUGUUUAACGACACGACACCCUAUAAUAAGGCGAAAGACUUUUAAGAUGUAUAUAGCUAACCAAAUUUAUAGUAGUGAGGGCUCCUAAGAUUCUAAGUUCAACAUCAACAAUCCCACCAAAUUGGCUCUAAAUUUUUUUUAAAAAAAUAAUAAUAUUAAUCAACUUAUCCCAUUAUUACUAUUUUUCUAUUAUUAUUCUCCUUGCUUUAUCAUAGGUUAGGUAUGAGAUAUCCCAAUGAAGGAAAGAAUAAAAGUAGUACUAAACCCUAUCUACAAGUCUCACCCAAUUGAUUUGAAACUUACUUGAGUUGAGGGAGCUUGAGUAAAACUAACAUGAGAUCCCUAAUAACAAUGCCUUUUUACUUUUCAUUUGGGGAAAAAAAAUAUUUUUUUCAUUAGAUUUUAAUUUCCUAACAAUAUUUAUAUAUGUAAUAGAGGCAAAAAAAAAUUAAGUUGAAGUUGCUGUUAUUUUUUAACUUCUAAUUAUUACGACUUGUGGAAUAUAAUUAAAUGAUUGAAAUAUUGUUUUUGCUUAAUUUUUUUUAAAAAUUAAUUAUUUCACAUAAUAAUAUUGGAACAGGAGGUUUUAAAUUCGAAUUCUUUACUUUAUGAAAAAAAAUACUAUUGAAUAAACUUACUAGAAUAUGCCCUAACAACUUUUUAUUAAUAAUUUUUUUAUUUUAGAAAUAUAUAUAUGUAUAUAGAUUCUCUAAACUUUAACUCUUUUUCAAAUUGUUCAAAAAUAUACAGAGAAUCUCCUUGACUAUCUAGUACGGAUGAAUGGAGUGUUUGAGCUCUUGGACCAUAAUAAAAGAAGAAUUUUCGCGGAAAAAACACGUAAAUUUAGGCCGUAUUUGUUAUAUUAGAACUAAGGUUUUAAUAUAACAAAUAAGAUACUAUACCAAUAAGAUACUGACACGAUACAGACUUCGUGCCGAUGGUACAGCUCAAAACUCUCUAUUUUUUAAAUUAAUACGUAAUUUUCUUAAUAAAAUUUAAAAGAUGUGAUAAAAAAAUAUAAUAAAUAGUUAAAAUAUUUUGUUGCUAAAGAAAAUAAAUAUUUCAUGCUAUUAUGUGUCAGCACACAAGAGUUUUUUUGACUGGCACGCAUCAACACGGUUCGACACGCACCGUGCCGUACCGUGCCGGUAAGCUUUCGACACUACUUCAUGUCACGGCACUCAAAUUCUUAAUUAGAACUACACUCCAUAGAAGACGGUGAGUUUCGUCUGUACGACGAAACUCACUACUUCGUGGUCUUUGAGACGACCUCGCACUUGCGGGCCGUGCGGGUCCCAUGGAAGUCGGAGAUAGUGGUUACGUCCAAAUGCCAGCGAUCUCUUGCUUGCGUUACAUGAAUUCACGAAUUCUUAGUCGGAUUUUCGUCUAAACAAACAGGCUUUUUAUUUCCCCUCCAAAAAAAAAAAAGUUUUUUUAGUAAAUUUACUAAUAUACCCCUAGGAAAAGUAUAUAAAGCUAAAAUUGGGGGAAACCUAAUUAAUUAGAAUUGUGUUUACUUUUUUGGCGGUUUCGGCGUUUCGCGUCUCCCGACGCAUCUCCACCUCACAAAAAUAAUUAAAUAAUAAUUAAUAAUAAGAAUUAUUAUUAUUAUUAUUAUUAUUAUUAUUAUUAUUUGUUUCGUCGCCUUCUCCACGGCACUGCUUGCGUGUCGCCAUCUCCCUCCCCCGGCCCACUGGGCCCCACCUCCCCCGCUGCACCCUACCUGCGUUCGCCACGUGUCCAUACUCCUCGUCGUCCCUUCUCCGUGCACCGCGCUUUGUACACCGGAUCCCUGUACUCUUUUUUGGGGUAAAAUUCAAAUGUCAUCUCUGUGGUCUCGCACUUUCUCAUUUUAGUACUCUGAUUUAAAAUGUAUCAAUUUAGUAAUUCGUGUCCUUAAUAUUUUAUUAAAUUGUAUAUAAAAAUUUUAAAUAUCUCAUCUACGUUUAUCGAAUAUUCACUUUAAUAUCUUUUAGUUUUAACUUUUCUCACUGAUUUAACGAAAAAAUUAGUAAAGAAAAUAAUAAAAAGAGAAAAAUAAAACCACGGGGCACUGAAUUGAUACACUUUAAAUCAUAUGAUACUAAAAUAAAAAAGUGUGAAACUAUAAGGAUCGUAUUUGAAGGCUUUUCUUUUCUUUUUUUUUUGGUUCGUAUUAGGCUGCUGGCAAUCUAUCUCUCUAUUCGCCGGCUAGUAGAGAGCAUCAGUCUCGAGGUUACUUUGAGCUGAACACGAGUAAUUUUUCAACCCGAAAUCUUAACGAGCCGAAUAUGAACUAAGAUCCACUUGCUAGUAUUUGACUCGUUGAAGUUCGAAUAUAUAUUUAUAUGUUUCAACUAUUUAGAUUUUAAGCCGAUUCAAAUAAAAAGAGACCUAUAUUUCGUGAAUAUAAUUAUUAGAUUAAAAUUUUAAUUUUUAAUUUUCUCGUAACCUCUACUAGUAGAAGGACUGACGAUCUAAGUUGCUACUCGUGAGCUAACUCUUGUUCAGCUCAUUUAACGAAGAAGUGAACACGAGCCGACCCCAGCUCGCUCUUGUUCGCCCAUUGACGGCUCCAAUUGGUAGGACCGGCUUAAUAUAAUAUAAUUUUUUUUAUAAUUUGAUAGACCAGGUCUAUAGACCAGGUCCACGCAACUAUUUCCGCGUUCUCGUGUCGUCUCCCUCGCUCUCUCCCACAGCCGCAUACGUCGCUGUUCCCUUCUAUUUAAAACCCUAAGCGGCGGAGUCUCAAUUCGGGGCUUCGAGCUCCAUUUUGAUCGCCUAGUACCCACAAUUUUCCACCUUUUAACCCAAAAUUUCCAAAAUUUUCAUCUAUCAAUCGCUCAGUUCACCCAAUUUGAUCCGUUUGUAGCCGUUUGGUUGGAGAAUCGAGAACUCUCUGUGGGGUUUUUGCACCAGGUGAGUGAUCGAUCGCUUCUUCUGUGUCCAAGUCCUCUAAUCCCUGCCUCGGGGUGUUUGAUUUCGCUGCGAUCGUGUCCAAGUUUAGAUUUUUCUCUUAUUUUGGCUACUUUUUUUUUUUGUGGGUUUUUAAUCGGUUGGCCUCUGUUUCUGCUUUAUCGCCCUCGUUUUAGGAGCCUUUUAACUCGUUUGUGGAGUUAGGGUUACUCUUUUUGUUGGUUUUGUUGGGUUUCGAUCGCUUUUUGUAGCUUUAGUUUUACCCCCCCUUGUUUGUCCGAUUAGGGUUUUGGAUGCUCCGAUUUCUCCGUUUUUCUCCUAGUUUUCUCUGACACCGGCGAGUAAUUCCAAUUGUUUUUUAUAAUUUCUUCUUCUAUACAUAUCUAAAUUUCAAAAUUUUGUAAUUUUGUGGUAAUUUUGGGUUUUUUAUCGCUGUGUUUGUUGUUUCCCUCUCCAAGCUUAUGCGUUUCGUCUUAGUUUGUGUUCAGUGCGUUUCAGUAACGCCUCUCUCCUUCUUCUUUUAAGGGGAAAGUUAGGUUUUUAUUAUGUCUAAAUAUAGCUCUAAUAAUACUUGUUCAAAAGUUGUUUGCUUUGUUGCUAGGAUUAGGAUCGCCAAAUUAGUACCUUUUGUAUGUAUUUAUGAACCAUUUAAUCGGGUUUUGAAUUUGAUCUCAUCAAAAUCACAUUUUUGAUCUAGUUCUUUCAUUGAUCUAUUAGCUAAUUAGUUGAGAAGUUGUUUGAUGUGUUGGUAUGUGCCAUUUCGAUCCAAGUAUCUGGUUGAUAUGUAGGCUAAUGAGUAAUUUACCCUUAUUUAGGAGAUACAAAGAUGGUGAGUGGAAGGCCAGGGAGUGGAGGAGGAUUGGAUGUAUGGUUUAAGAACCUGAUGGUGGCGGGCGAAGGGGGGAAGAUGGAGCGGGCGGGGCCGGUCAUGGCCGGUUGGAAGGAUCUCCCGAUGGAGCUGCUGUUGAGG
rnacentral:lncRNA from 1 species